CCUGGGAAUCGGAUCCUCAUGGCGGUGAGGACGGCCAGAGUCUGACGGACCAGCUCAGCCUCCUGCUCUUUACUCCGCAGGUUGAUCAGCGGCUCUCCCUGCACACGCACACACAACCCAUCCAGAGGUGAGCAGAGAAUGGAGGAGGCAGGCGGAAAGCAGCAGAUGGCCACAGAAUGGAGGUUAUUGUUGUAAAGUACAGUACCAACGGCUCAGCGGGUCCAGGAGGACAUCUGUAAGUGUGUCUGCUGACGUGUUGCUGAGUUUUCUACCAUGUUGGCGUGGAUGGUCCCCAGGCUGUUGCUGUGAGGCACGCGGUGGGCGGAGCCACUGCG